rnacentral:lncRNA from 1 species
GAAAAAGGUGCCAGGAAGAAGUAGCCCUUCCUUAUACAGGGACCUCUAAUAUAAAAUCAAAGAUAUGAGGCAAUACCAAAAACUAUGAGGCUACUAAUGGGAAGGGGUGGCUUUCAGAUUUUUAAAUUUAAUCAAUUUAAGAAAUUGAGCCCUGCAUUGACAAAGCGAAAGGAAAUGAGUGAUAAUUAGAUCAGAGAAAAGAAGGAGGAAACGUAGAAUUGGCAGUGAGCACAAGACAAAGGCAACUCUAGAGGAGACCACAGCACAAUUCCCAGUCUUAGUCUUGCUCCCAGCCUAGUUCCACCAGACCCAGGACACCUGAUUCAGCCAGGUAGGGAGCAGAAGGGGAGAGAGAGCUCAAGAUUACACUCCAAGCCUGUGGCCUCCUGUAAAAUGAUGCAGAAGCAAUAAUCACGAGAUCACAUGCCACCAAGUCCUUCAGUAUUGCACCUGGGGUUUGCAAAAGUCCAUCAGUGACUGUGCAUUGCCCAUGCCUUCAGCUCACUGGAUCUCUCCCUCUGGCUGCCCUGUCUCCAGUUCAAAUUUGGCAUUACAGAAUUUCAAGCUUCCUUUUCUAAAUAAACAGAAUCACAAUACACUGUAA